GGGUCAGCGACUUAUAUUCUGUAGCAAGGUUAACCGAAUAGGGGAGCCGAAGGGAAACCGAGUCUUAACUGGGCGUUAAGUUGCAGGGUAUAGACCCGAAACCCGGUGAUCUAGCCAUGGGCAGGUUGAAGGUUGGGUAACACUAACUGGAGGACCGAACCGACUAAUGUUGAAAAAUUAGCGGAUGACUUGUGGCUGGGGGUGAAAGGCCAAUCAAACCGGGAGAUAGCUGGUUCUCCCCGAAAGCUAUUUAGGUAGCGCCUCGUGAAUUCAUCUCCGGGGGUAGAGCACUGUUUCGGCAAGGGGGUCAUCCCGACUUACCAACCCGAUGCAAACUGCGAAUACCGGAGAAUGUUAUCACGGGAGACACACGGCGGGUGCUAACGUCCGUCGUGAAGAGGGAAACAACCCAGACCGCCAGCUAAGGUCCCAAAGUCAUGGUUAAGUGGGAAACGAUGUGGGAAGGCCCAGACAGCCAGGAUGUUGGCUUAGAAGCAGCCAUCAUUUAAAGAAAGCGUAAUAGCUCACUGGUCGAGUCGGCCUGCGCGGAAGAUGUAACGGGGCUAAACCAUGCACCGAAGCUGCGGCAGCGACGCUGAUGCGUUGUUGGGUAGGGGAGCGUUCUGUAAGCCUGCGAAGGUGUGCUGUGAGGCAUGCUGGAGGUAUCAGAAGUGCGAAUGCUGACAUAAGUAACGAUAAAGCGGGUGAAAAGCCCGCUCGCCGGAAGACCAAGGGUUCCUGUCCAACGUUAAUCGGGGCAGGGUGAGUCGACCCCUAAGGCGAGGCCGAAAGGCGUAGUCGAUGGGAAACAGGUUAAUAUUCCUGUACUUGGUGUUACUGCGAAGGGGGGACGGAGAAGGCUAUGUUGGCCGGGCGACGGUUGUCCCGGUUUAAGCGUGUAGGCUGGUUUUCCAGGCAAAUCCGGAAAAUCAAGGCUGAGGCGUGAUGACGAGGCACUACGGUGCUGAAGCAACAAAUGCCCUGCUUCCAGGAAAAGCCUCUAAGCAUCAGGUAACAUCAAAUCGUACCCCAAACCGACACAGGUGGUCAGGUAGAGAAUACCAAGGCGCUUGAGAGAACUCGGGUGAAGGAACUAGGCAAAAUGGUGCCGUAACUUCGGGAGAAGGCACGCUGAUAUGUAGGUGAAGUCCCUCGCGGAUGGAGCUGAAAUCAGUCGAAGAUACCAGCUGGCUGCAACUGUUUAUUAAAAACA
rnacentral:rRNA from 1 species